AUCCAUUCUUAUACUGCAGUAGUUAAACUACCAAUUGAUGAAGCCACAAACUGGAGAAAAAGAUGGCCACACUUGAAACGGUGUCAAAACUUAUAUUCCAGAUUUGUAAAAUAAUCCUCUGCGCCUAUUCUCACCACUGACGCUUACUUAAAGUAAUUUUGAAAGCCUCCCCUUAUACGUUGUCGUUGGUGUCCGCCAUGCUCAAACUCUUUAAUAGUAAACGUAUAUACGUUUUCUGAUAAUAAAUUGACUGUUUUGUUUUCCAGAAAUACAGCCUGGAUAUCACUGGUCCCAUUUUACCUGGAAAUUUCUCAAAGUUAUGUCAACUCUUUGAAUCAACUCAGCAACAUCAAUUUUCUGCUGUUAUGAAAAACCUUCAAGCGACAGCACCAUUUAAUGUUCUACCGCCUGACAUGCAAGCACAAGAUCAGAGUGAUGAUGAGAACUUCCUCAAACAACCUUCCAACUUGGGUACAACUAAUUUAACAUUCAUCAAAUGUGAUGAUGAGCUCUAUACAUGGGAAACCAGCUGAUAGUCGUCUGAUGAAUGUGAUGACACAUGCUGGAAUAUUACAGCAAUAUUUUAAAAUGCUAGAUUUCAUCAAUUGAUGAUUCCAGCUAUACUAUAGACUUAAUUUUGAUCUAGGCAAGAAAAACGAAAUCCAUCACCACAGCUAGAAAGAGCAUCUUAUACAAUUAGUAAAGUUGCAAAUUUUGUUUGCGAAAUGUUGUAAAAUGCGGAAAAUAUGGCCCUGCGAAAUUUGCAAGUUUUGUAUUAAUAGAGAGUUUAAGCUUCGCGUUAUACGGCAAACGCCAGGCAAAGAAAAAUUUUACGGUAUCAACCAAUGAAGAGUAAAUGAACUAGCAGUUUUAAAACUGAAAUACAUAGUUAUUCUUUCGACACAAGAAAGAAAAUAUGAAACGAAAACGUUAAACGAAAAUUUUGCCAAGAAAGUUCGAACCUGCCGUUUGCCGUUCCCGGAAACGUGUAGCUUAAACUUCCUAUUAUUUUGUAUUACGCACGGGAAAAUGCAACUUUCGGCCAAAAUGUGGUGCAUGUUCCCUUGCGUAAUACAAAUUAAUACAAAAUUUGCAAAUUUCGCAGGGCUAUAUUUUCCACAUUUUGCA
rnacentral:lncRNA from 1 species